GGUGACUCUUAGGGGUGCCACGGUGCGACUGCAUGGUGGCUGAGAUGAGACCCUCGACCUGAUCCAGAUAAUACUGGCGUAGGCAAAGAGAACGACUACACG
rfam:Porphyromonas asaccharolytica DSM 20707, complete genome.